rnacentral:rRNA from 1 species
UACGUAGGGUGCAAGCGUUGUCCGGAAUUAUUGGGCGUAAAGAGCUCGUAGGCGGUCUGUCGCGUCUGCUGUGAAAACUCAGGGCUUAACCCUGAGCUUGCAGUGGGUACGGGCAGACUAGAGUGCGGUAGGGGAGACUGGAAUUCCUGGUGUAGCGGUGAAAUGCGCAGAUAUCAGGAGGAACACCGGUGGCGAAGGCGGGUCUCUGGGCCGUAACUGACGCUCAGGUGCGAAAGCUAGGGGAGCGAACAGG